rnacentral:rRNA from 1 species
UACGAAGGGGGCUAGCGUUGUUCGGAAUUACUGGGCGUAAAGCGCACGUAGGCGGAUUGUUAAGUUAGGGGUGAAAUCCCGAGGCUCAACCUCGGAACUGCCUUUAAUACUGGCAACCUCGAGUCCGGAAGAGGUGAGUGGAAUUCCCAGUGUAGAGGUGAAAUUCGUAGAUAUUGGGAAGAACACCAGUGGCGAAGGCGGCUCACUGGUCCGGUACUGACGCUGAGGUGCGAAAGCGUGGGGAGCAAACAGG